rnacentral:rRNA from 1 species
AGCGAACGCUGGCGGCAGGCCUAACACAUGCAAGUCGAACGAGACCUUCGGGUCUAGUGGCGCACGGGUGCGUAACGCGUGGGAAUAUGCCCUUGGGUUCGGAAUAACAGUUAGAAAUGACUGCUAAUACCGGAUAAUGACGUAAGUCCAAAGAUUUAUCGCCCAAGGAUGAGCCCGCGUAGGAUUAGCUUGUUGGUGAGGUAAAGGCUCACCAAGGCGACGAUCCUUAGCUGGUCUGAGAGGAUGAUCAGCCACACUGGGACUGAGACACGGCCCAGACUCCUACGGGAGGCAGCAGUGGGGAAUAUUGGACAAUGGGCGAAAGCCUGAUCCAGCAAUGCCGCGUGAGUGAUGAAGGCCUUAGGGUUGUAAAGCUCUUUUACCCGGGAUGAUAAUGACAGUACCGGGAGAAUAAGCCCCGGCUAACUCCGUGCCAGCCGCCGCCGUAAAAC